CAAUAGAGCUCCGGUUCCUGGCACCUAUGGGGUCGGGCGCCCGUGGUGACUCUGCAGCGCCCCCAGUGGCAGUCGAUGCUCCCCGCAGCCCCCUCCGUGCAGUUGGUGACGCACGAAACGCCGCUGCUGCUCACGGCCGGGAAAUAGAAGGAGGCGAAGGCCGGAGGGACCACCGACUGGCAGAAGGCUGAGGGGGGGGGGACCCCAAAAAGUGACGUCAUCUCGGGGGGCCCUUUUGGGGGGGCCCUUUUGGGGUGGUCCCAUUGAUGGGUCCCUUUUGGGGGGUCCCCAUUGAUGGGUCCCUUUUGGGGUAUCUCCAUUGAUGGGUCCCUUUUGGGGGGCCCUUUUGGGGGGGCCCUUUUGGGGUGACCCUUUUGGGGUGACCCCAAUAAUGGGUCGCUUUUGGGGUGGUCCCAUUGAUGGGGCCCUUUUGGGGUCUUCCUGUGGGACCACCGACUGGCAGAAGGCUGGGGGGGGGGGGACCCCAAAAAGUGACGUCAUCUCGGGGGGUCCCUUUUGGGGGGGCCCUUUUGGGGUAUCCCCACGGAUGGGUCCCUUUUGGGGGGGCCGCAUUGAUGGGUCCCUUUUGGGGUAUCUCCAUUGAUGGGUCCCUUUUGGGGGGGCCCUUUUGGGGUAUCCCCACGGAUGGGUCCCUUUUGGGGGGCCCUUUUGGGGUGACCCUUUUGGGGUGACCCCAUUAAUGGGUCCCUUUUGGGGGAGCCGCAUUGAUGGGUCCCUUUUGGGGGGGCCCUUUUGG
ensembl:lncRNA